GAAAUCUGGCCCCUCCGGGUCCUUAGUUGUAAUUUGUAGAGGAUGCUUUUGGUGAGGUGCCGCCCGAGUUCCCUGGAACGGGACGCCACAGAGGGUGAGAGCCCCGUCUGGCUGGCCACCGAGCCUCUGUAAAGCUCCUUCGACGAGUCGAGUAGUUUGGGAAUGCUGCUCAAAAUGGGAGGUAUAUGUCUUCUAAAGCUAAAUAUUGGCCAGAGACCGAUAGCGCACAAGUAGAGUGAUCGAAAGAUGAAAAGCACCUUGAAAAGAGGGUUAAACAGUACGUGAAAUUGUUGAAAGGGAAGCGCUUGUGACCAGACUUGGGCGCGGCGGAUCAUCCGGGGUUCUCUCCGGUGCACUUCGCCGCGUUCAGGCCAGCAUCAGUUCGUCGCGGGGGAAAAAGGCUUCGGGAACGUGNCUCCUCCGGGAGUGUUAUAGCCCGUUGCAUAAUACCCUGCGGUGGACUGAGGACCGCGCAUCUGCAAGGAUGCUGGCGUAAUGGUCACCANCGACCCGUCUUGAAACACGGACCAAGGAGUC
rnacentral:rRNA from 1 species